UACGGGGGGAGCAAGCGUUGUUCGGAUUUACUGGGCGUAAAGGCGCGUAGGCGGUCAGCACAAGUCAGUUGUGAAAUCUCCGGGCUUAACUCGGAAAGGUCAACUGAUACUGUGCGACUAGAGUGCAGAAGGGGCAACUGGAAUUCGUCGGUGUAGCGGUGAAAUGCGUAGAUAUCGAGAGGAACACCUGCGGCGAAGGCGGGUGCUGGGCUGACACUGACGCUGAUGCGCGAAAGCCAGGGAGCGAACGGG
rnacentral:rRNA from 1 species